GUAAAUAAGGGCACUAAUAGUGGAUGCCUUGACAAUCAAUACCGACGAAGGACGUAGAACUCUGC
rnacentral:rRNA from 1 species